UGCAAGUCGAGCGCAGGAAGCAAGCAGAUCCCCUUCGGGGGUGACGCUUGUGGAAUGAGCGGCGGACGGGUGAGUAACACGUGGGCAACCUGCCUGUAAGACUGGGAUAACCCCGGGAAACCGGGGCUAAUACCGGAUAAUACUUUUCUUUGCAUAAAGGAAAGUUGAAAGGCGGUUUCGGCUGCCACUUACAGAUGGGCCCGCGGCGCAUUAGCUAGUUGGUGAGGUAACGGCUCACCAAGGCGACGAUGCGUAGCCGACCUGAGAGGGUGAUCGGCCACACUGGGACUGAGACACGGCCCAGACUCCUACGGGAGGCAGCAGUAGGGAAUCUUCCGCAAUGGACGAAAGUCUGACGGAGCAACGCCGCGUGAGUGAUGAAGGUUUUCGGAUCGUAAAACUCUGUUGUUAGGGAAGAACAAGUCGGGUAGUAACUGACCCGGCCUUGACGGUACCUAACCAGAAAGCCCCGGCUAACUACGUGCCAGCAGCCGCGGUAAUACGUAGGGGGCAAGCGUUGUCCGGAAUUAUUGGGCGUAAAGCGCUCGCAGGCGGUCCUUUAAGUCUGAUGUGAAAUCUCGCGGCUCAACCGCGAACGGUCAUUGGAAACUGGAGGACUUGAGUACAGAAGAGGAGAGUGGAAUUCCACGUGUAGCGGUGAAAUGCGUAGAGAUGUGGAGGAACACCAGUGGCGAAGGCGACUCUCUGGUCUGUAACUGACGCUGAGGAGCGAAAGCGUGGGGAGCGAACAGGAUUAGAUACCCUGGUAGUCCACGCCGUAAACGAUGAGUGCUAGGUGUUAGGGGGUUUCCGCCCCUUAGUGCUGAAGUUAACGCAUUAAGCACUCCGCCUGGGGAGUACGGCCGCAAGGCUGAAACUCAAAAGAAUUGACGGGGGCCCGCACAAGCGGUGGAGCAUGUGGUUUAAUUCGAAGC
rnacentral:rRNA from 1 species